UUUUAUUUUGCAAAAUCAACCAUUCAAGAUUUAACAACAAGGUCCUUCCAUUCUAUUAAACCCUUCUUCAUAUUUGUCAACUACUACAUGGACAAGUAUCUGAUAACCUUUUUAAUUAUUUGUUUUGCUUCGGUGUUAGUUGCAGAACGAAUAAAAAUAUGUUUUCCAUCUACUGAUUGCCCUACGACUCCAGAGCUAUGUCAAAAAUUUUGUAAGAAUACACUUGGUGCUAUUGGUGGAUUUUGUAGAAAGGGAGAGGGUACAUGUUGUUGUAAUAAGACAUGAGAGAAGUUUUAUAAUAAUAUAGAACAAACAGGAAUAUACUUUCCAUCGAAAUAUUGUCCAACUGCACCAGAGUUAUGCGAUCACUUUUGUAAAAUUACAAUCAGAGCUAUUGGUGGAUGUUGUGGAAAUUAUGGGGAGGGCGCAUGCUGUUGUAUUAAGACAUGAGAAAAGUUUUAAAAUAGUAUUGGUAGCAUCUCUAAAAUUAUAAUAUUGUAAUUGAACAACGGCGAGUUCUUUUUAUUUAUAAUUAUGAGUUUGAUUCAGUGAAUUAAUGAUUUUAAAAUAUUAUAAAAUGUUUGAAUAUGAAGCAUAAUUUAAUUGAAA